GACAGAGGGUGCAAACGUUGUUCGGAAUUACUGGGCGUAAAGCGCGUGUAGGCGGCCCUGCAAGUCGGAUGUGAAAUCCCACGGCUCAACCGUGGAAGUGCAUUCGAAACUGCAGGGCUAGAGUCCUGGAGAGGACGGUGGAAUGCUUGGUGUAGAGGUGAAAUUCGUAGAUAUCAAGCGGAACACCGGUGGCGAAGGCGGCCUUCUGGACAGUGACUGACGCUGAGACGCGAAAGCGUGGGGAGCAAACAGG
rnacentral:rRNA from 1 species